AAAUUGUCUAUUUGCCUCCUGGAUCUUGUUGGGACACCUGUGUCUCAUUGUAUUUUAGGGCAGCACCACCCCUCCUUUCCUUCAUUCUCCUCCAGGUUCCUGAGGGCUUUGUGCUGCUCUGCUCCCUGAGCAGGGGUGAAAUUGCACCAUUCCUUGUGCUCUGGGAAUAGAAGGUGGAUUCAAGCAGAAGGUCUGGGUGAGUAAACUGAAGCCUGUGCUCCUCUCAGUCAAGGAAGAAGAAGAAGGUGUAGCUGAAGCUGUGCUGUCUUGCAAAAAGCUCUGGCUGUGGAGAAGGAUUCCCUUGUUGUGCUGCUCCAAACCUGAACCAAACCCCAGGAUGAUGCUCAAGCAGCAAACAGAGAGGACAGAGGGGGACAUUUCAGGGGACAGCAAGGACCAGAGAACAGAGAUCUUAUAAGCCCAGUUCAGAUCUUCCAACCUUGUGGACUGAAGCAUCUGAACCCUUUGACAGGGAUGCUCAAGAAAAAUCUUGGACCUUUGAAAAAUGUGUCUGCAAUGCUGAGAUCCUUUGGAAAUGUUCUAGCAAAUGUGACUCAGUAACCCAGAGUACAAGAGUGAAAAGAAAACACAGCCUCCUCCGAGCUACUAAGGCAACAGGCUUUAAAAUCAACAAAUGCAGCCCACGAGGAUGACAGCCGAGGUGACUACUGUGUGAUCCCAUUCUCCUGCUGCAGGAAGCCAUGAGAACUGCUAAUGAGUUUACUUAAACUUGAAGUCCAGUGCUUGCCUGCAUAAUCCCAAUUCAGGAAGCUAAGGUAAAUACAAUUUGGGGAAGCUUGCUUGCCUCUAGCACACUUAGCACGAUGAGCAAAUGGGAGGAAUCUGUAACUGUAACACACUGAGUGUAUUCCUGCAGGGGUCAGGACAAUGGGAAAGCACUAACUGACUCAGGAAAGGAAAGCAGCUGCUAGUAUUUAUGCUUGUGAUGGAUGUUCACAGUAAAAUGGUCAGACAGAACAGAGAAUAUCUCUCCAAGGUCUUGACUUGACACCCACAGCUGUGCAAAUAGCACAGAUGGGAAGAUGAUUCAGAGUGGCCUGAUUUCAAAAAUGCCCAAAACCAGGCCCUCAAAACAAGAUGGGUUUUUGUGAACGCCCCUGUGGACCCUGAGGGCUGCUAAAGAGAUGCUGCUUUGCAGCAGCUUCACAGAUUAACAGCUUGAACAGUUGGUUGGGGAUGGGCUGAUGAAAGAUGAUCUCUGCAUGAUGUAUCCAAAUGUACAAGGAAUUAAUUGGAGACUACGAACAGAGAGCUGUGAAAGUGUCAGCUUGUGUCCUUCUGUGGGUCCUCUUAGACCUGCAGAAUUCCUAUGGCUUGUCCCAGUAAUGAGCAUUGGAGUGGCACGUGUGACCAGGUCAGUCUCAGAGUGGCUACAGCUGGCAGCAAGUGCUGCCCACUCACUGGAGUGCUGCACAAACACACGGCCUGAGGGAGCCCUGGAGCUGCUGCCAUCCCAAACCACCCAACCAGGCCUCAUUUCUCCUGCCACAGGCUCUGUCCUCACCCUAUCCUCAAGCUCAACAGGCCUAGUGGUGUCACAGAAUCACAAAAUAAAUUGGGUUGGAAGGGGACCUUGAGGAUCAUCUUGUUCCACCCCUUUCACUUUCCAUUAUCCCAGGUUGCUCCAAGCCCCAUCCAGCCUGGCCCUGGACACUUCCAGGGAUGGGGCAGCCACAAGGAGCCCUGAAGCAUUUUUAAAAGCACUCCUUUCCUACAGGAAGGGGGAAAACUUUGCAUGGUACAACAACAAGCUCUCAGAAACAUUUCCAUGGCUAAGAAACACCUAUGGCUGUAUUUAGGCUGUGUCUGUAUCAGAAAAUGGGUUGAGCCCAUAGGAUCAGAUCCCAGCUUCCUGCAGAGGCUCCAAAAUCCCAGUCCAUGCCCUUCUGAGGCUCCCUGGAGCCUGGCCUGAGGGCUGAGUGCUCAUUAGUGCUUGUGGCACAUUAGUGGCACCCCUGGGGUGCAUUUCAGGUUGAGUUUGAGCUGGGCUGGAUGUGGCUGCACGUUCCAGGAGCUCUCAGGGAGGGGAAUCAAAGCACAGUGAGUGGAGCUCAUUAGGAGCUGCAGUGCCCCAGCCAAAAUGCCAGGGAGGAGCCUCCUGCCAGGGCACAGCCAGGCUCUGCCAAGUGCACCUGCACUCCCACACCUUUAAUGUUCUUCAUGUGCCAGCUGCACAUCCCUGACAUAUGUAAAUAUAUAUAAUAUAAAGUGAUUUUUCUAUGGCAAACAUCAUGAACUGCUCCCCCUUGUCCCUCUCUCCUUCACAGGACAACAAAAAGGAUUCUACAGAUGCAAAAUUUAGCCUUAUUUGACUUGUUCACAAUUAAUUUCUUGAGUCAAAAGCAUAGCUUGGGUAUGAUAAGUUACUUUGAAAAGUACCAAAAAAAGACCAAACAAAAACACCCCUUAACCUCUACCAGUGUAAGGAUACCUAAGAUGAUUUUGCAAGGGGAAGAAUAACCACAGCACAGAAAACAAAUUCAUUUUUUUCCUCCUUCCACAGAGGAGGAAAAAAGCACCCAAUGUCCACCAAGUCUGGACAGAACUCUGGAAAAAUGUCAUUCUCCCACAGAAGCAAGCACUGAUCUCUCAUAUUGCAAUCUACCUGCCUCCUGAAUCUGACAUUGCAGCAGCACAAAGGGUUACAAACAGGCUGCAGAAACAGCAAAAGCUAAUCUAGCUCAGGAGCAAAAAUGUUUGCUUACUUUAUUGCUUGUGUUGCCAACAUGACAGGAAUUAAGGAAAAUGAGUUCCUUUCCCUUCUCAAGUUUACAGGUUAUUUGGUACCUUUUUUGGUCCCUUUUUGCAUUCAAGUGUCAUUAACAUUCUAGGAGAAGCCAGUACUUUCUUGCAGACUAGGUUUGACAAAAUUGAAUUAAUUGGGUGAUUUUCUUUUGAAUUCAAUAGGAGCAGACUCAAAUCACAGAGAGCCUAACAACAAAGUAAAAUAAAACUCAGGCCUGAGUGCAGGCACAGAGUGCAGCUAUUCAUGGGUUUUAUCAGGGAAAAAUAUCUGGGAACCUGAGUUAAUUCAGUAAUUUGUUUUAAAUUAUUUCUUACUCUGU